AAAGUACACGUGCCAUGUUUAAAACAAAUCUUCCACAACUUGAGGACCAAGUAACCACUCAUCUAGUUACCUUAAAUUUGACCUAUAAAUACCCCUUUCCGUUGCCUUCAUUCCGUACAUCCAACACAUCCUUUCUUCCUCUCCAUAUCACACCUCAAGUCUCUUGUUUUCUUCUUGUUUUCUCGUAGCUGAAAUGGCUAUAAAACAACCCCAACAUCAUCCUGAAACAGCCCCGGAAUCAUCGCGAAACACCCUCCAUGAACACCCAUAGGGGCCGUAGGAAGCUGCUGGGUUUCAAGGUUGCAAGGGAUGUUCGAAACACCUAUAAAGGACACGACGGUUGCUCGUGAUAAUUGUAGGAAUAAUAAGAAUAGAAAGAUUUCUAGUUCAUGUUGAAUUCAUUUGAGAUCAUUUCGAGUUUCCAUGUUUCGAGUUGGUUACAAAAUCUUGUAACAAUUAGGCAAGGUUUAGAUGUUCGUGGAUACUGAUCGCUCGUCUUCCUCGUUAACCCAUCCUCUUACUUGUCAGGAAACUAAUUACUCGGAGUAUAAGUAGAAGAAGCAUGCUCUUUGGUAGUCACAUAUGCAUAUUUUCAAGAGUUUUUCUAUUAAGCUAAUCAUGUUGUAGAAUCUCUAGUAUAAGUUCUGUACACUUUAUGUAAGAUCCUGGUUUUUAUAUUAAUAAUAUUUCAAAACGUCUUAUUUAGAGGUCGUUUGUUAUAA